UACGUAGGGACCGAGCGUUGUCCGGAUUCAUUGGGCGUAAAGAGCUCGUAGGCGGCCACUCAAGUCGAAUGUGAAACCUCGAGGCUUAACCUCGAGCCUGCAUUCGAUACUGGGCGGCUAGAGUCUGGUAGGGGGAUCUGGAAUUCCUGGUGUAGCGGUGGAAUGCGCGGAUAUCAGGAGGAACACCGGUGGCGAAGGCGGGAUCCUGGGCCAGUACUGACGCUGAGGAGCGAAAGCGUGGGGAGCAAACAGG
rnacentral:rRNA from 1 species